CAGCCUUUUCCCCACCUGUGUUUGUGGGUAAAUAUUAUUUCUGUGUGUGUUUUGUGUGCGCCUCAGUUGCGUCACGUUCUUUUCUGUUUUCCUGUUUAUUGUUUUGUUCGGUUUCACCUCAAUAAAGGAUGUGGAAUUACAGGCACGUUGCGCCUUGGUUGAUUUACGACAGGGAGUUGGAAGAUAGCGAGCGUGACAGAUAUUCUUCGUCUGCGUUUAUGGACUGCCCUCUUCACUUCAAACCACAGGUUUAAAGUGGGGUUCAAGUCUGGAGACUGAGGUGGCCAUUGCAAAAUGUUGAAGAUACCCUACAUCCAGCUCUCCUCAAGAUUAGUGUGUGUGUGUAUAUUUAUAGGUAAGUUAUUUCUUAUUAAUUAUUGCAUCCAUACUGUUCUGAUCUAAUGAGAUGGAUGUAGGAUAUUCUAUGCCUUUCCCAGUCACGGAGAACCGAAACGUGCAGCUGUAGACCACUACUGAAUUGGGGUUAAGUUAGGAUAGUGUGGUAGUACAUACAUUUUUCACAGGUUUGGGUUAGGCAGACUCUUCAGUGUCACUUUUCUCAACAUCUUAGACACCAAAUGUUGUUAAUGAACAAUUUUUUAAGCUCAUAUGACUUGUAAUAUUUAUAGAGGGCUGAAAGACUAAGCCGAAUGGGUUACAAAUGAACAUUUCUCACUAUAUUGCCUCUUACACAGAUCACAAGUUUGGGUAGAUAUUCCACGUCAGAUUUUUCAAUACCACUUGUCUCAACAUAUUAGACCCCAAAGGUUGCCAGGUCAAGCUGUUUCUCAUAUAUACAUAUAAGUGAUGGACAUUUAACCAGAGUAAUGGAGAAUUAUUAUUAUUUAUUUUUUUAUUGUCGAGUGAAUAACAUAAAAAUCCCACUUUUGUAUAUGCAAUAGUUUAUGACAAUUUGGAAUAAUUUAAGUGACCUUAUGGUGAGAGCGACGGUCAGACGAUGAUUGGAUUAUUAUUCACAUUCUUUAAUUCAAGUUCUGUUUUGUACACACCUCUCUGUACACACAAAAACAACCCCAAUGGGAAUGAAGAAAAGAUCCGUGGAAGGGUGAUCCAAACAGGAAAGUUAGUUGUUUGCAUCUAAACGGUGAAAAACAUAUCCACAUUUGGCUUUGUAUUCACACACAUCUAUUCCCUGCCCUUAAGCAAGAGGGCUGAGCUCAUUACAUCUUCCAUGUUCUUAAUAACUUAAAUGGAUUAAGUUUUGACCAGUUCAAAGGCAGGCUGAAACUCUCCCCCAAAAGUGUCUUUAUCAACAGGGUCAUAUUGCCCUUUGAGGGUAGAAUGUGGUUUAUUAAACACCAAGGAGUAAAACUGUGGGUUAACUGAGACCAACUCUUUGAUUUUUGGAGGAACGGCUCUGCAUUUAAGUCCAUCUCUCGUGAGUUAUUAGCUACAAUAUCUGCUGUACAGAAACUAUUCCACAAUGGGUGGUACUACAUACACAUAGUUCUGCAGUAGACUAAAAACACCUGUUGCCAGUCAACAUACAUAAGGACCUGUCUAAUCUAAUCUAGUCUGCCUGUCCUCUGAUCAUGCAGGUAACAUCAGUGGAUCAAUUCUCUAUAUGGUGUCAAGGGGGAAGGAUACUGACGAUUAAAAAACAACAUGUACAGAAAUACUGAGAUGAAAAAAACUACAUUUUUAAAAAGCACGAGUAAAAACACUGACCAAGCUCUGUCCCACUCUCAAAAUAAUAUCACCCAGUAAUACACUGAGUAAGUACAAACACCGCUCAUUCAGCUCUCCUCUCUUUCUUUCCACUCUUCUUUCAGCUCAUCCUCCACUCUCAUCCUCCACUCUCCCAUUCUAAUGGGUCAUGCUGUGAGCCACUGACCUGUGUGUUCCUCCUCAGGCAGCAGCAGAUGUCUUCUACAGGGGCAGGGUGGUCUGGCUGGGACCCUCCUGACCUGUGUGUUCCUCAGCCAGCAGCAGGUGUCUUCUACAGGGGCAGGGUGGUCUGGCAGGGACCUUCCUGACCUGUGUGUUCCUCCUCAGCCAGCAGCAGGUGUCUUCUACAGGGGCAGGGUGGUCUGGCUGGGAUCCUCCUGACCUGUGUGUUCCUCCCCAGCCAGCAGCAGAUGUCUUCUACAGGGGCAGGGUGGUCUGGCAGGGACCCUCCUGACCUGUGUGUUCCUCAGGCAGCAGCAGGUGUCUUCUACAGGGGCAGGGGGGUCUGGCAAGGACCCUCAUGACCUGUGUGUUCCUCAGGCAGCAGCAGAUGUCUUCUACAGGGGCAGGGUGGUCUGGCAGGGACCCUCCUGACCUGUAUGUUCCUCCUCAGCCAGCAGCAGGUGUCUUCUACAGGAACAGGGUGGUCUGGUUGGGAUCCUCCUGACCUGUGUGUUCCUCCUCAGCCAGCAGCAGGUGUCUUCUACAGGGACAGGGUGGUCUGGUUGGGAUCCUCCUGACCUGUGUGUUCCUCCUCAGCCAGCAGCAGGUGUCUUCUACAGGAACAGGGUGGUCUGGUUGGGAUCCUCCUGACCUGUGUGUUCCUCCUCAGCCAGCAGCAGGUGUCUUCUACAGGGACAGGGUGGUCUGGUUGGGAUCCUCCUGACCUGUGUGUUCCUCCUCAGCCAGCAGCAGGUGUCUUCUACAGGGACAGGGUGGUCUGGUUGGGACCCUCCUAACUGGUCCCCAGCUACAGACGCUUUGUGACGGACCACCUCUGUGACAUUAAACGCUUGCUGCAGGACCAAACACAUUCCCAUCAGUGACUUAUGCAUUUAUAAAUGAUUCAUUAACCAUUCAUAAACUAAUUAUAAACCA